rnacentral:tRNA from 1 species
AUAUUAUUAGUAUAACUAGUAUGUAGGUCUUCCAAACUUAAGGUCCAAAAAUAUUUGGAUAAUAUA